CUGCUCGUGCUGGAGCUGUUCUGGCUGGGUCACUGUGCUGUACCCAGGGCAGCUCACAGCACGGGGGG
ensembl:miRNA gga-mir-1754 gga-mir-1754